GCUCCGGUAGUUUAGUGAGCGAAAGCGCCUAGCAAUAACUACGAGGAGGUCGCAGGAUCGAAUCCUGCCCAGUGGCU